GUACUACUUCUUCCAUCCAACAAAAGAUGUCUUAAGUUUGUCAAAAUUUGGAUGUAUCUAGACAUGACUUAGUGUAUAGAUGCAUUCAAAUUUAAUCAAAGUUGAGAUAUUCAUUGUUGGACUGAGGGAGUAUCUU
rnacentral:pre_miRNA from 1 species